GCCUAACACAUGCAAGUCGAACGCGAAAGGCUUGAAGCCUUCGGGCGGAGGGCCGAGUGAGUGGCGAACGGGUGAGGAACACGUAGGUGACCUGCCCCGGAGGGGGGGAUAACCGUCGGAAACGGCGGCUAAUACCCCAUAAGCUCACGAGGGUUAGAGGCUUUGUGAGAAAAGCUCCGGCGCUCCGGGAGGGGCCUGCGGCCCAUCAGCUAGUUGGUAGGGUAAAGGCCUACCAAGGCGAAGACGGGUAGGGGGCCUGAGAGGGUGGUCCCCCACAUGGGAACUGAGACACGGUCCCAACUCCUACGGGAGGCAGCAGUAAGGAAUAUUGCACAAUGGGCGCAAGCCUGAUGCAGCAACGCCGCGUGCCCGAGGACGGCCUUCGGGUUGUAAAGGGCUUUUCUGGCNGAAGAGNANACA
rnacentral:rRNA from 1 species